UACGUAGGGUGCAAGCGUUGUCCGGAAUUAUUGGGCGUAAAGAGCUCGUAGGCGGUCUGUUGCGUCCGCUGUGAAAACUAGGGGCUUAACCCCGAGCCUGCAGUGGAUACGGGCAGACUAGAGGUAGGUAGGGGAGAAUGGAAUUCCCGGUGUAGCGGUGAAAUGCGCAGAUAUCGGGAGGAACACCGGUGGCGAAGGCGGUUCUCUGGGCCUUACCUGACGCUGAGGAGCGAAAGCGUGGGGAGCGAACAGG
rnacentral:rRNA from 1 species